rnacentral:rRNA from 1 species
AAACAACAGGGAUUGCUCAGUAACGGCGAGUGAAGCGGCAAAAGCUCAAAUUUGAAACCCUCGGGAUUGUAAUUUGAAGAUUUGGCAUUGGAGAAAGCUAACCCAAGUUGCUUGGAAUAGUACGUCAUAGAGGGUGACAACCCCGUCUGGCUAACCGUUCUCCAUGUAUUGCCUUAUCAAAGAGUCGAGUUGUUUGGGAAUGCAGCUCAAAGUGGGUGGUAAACUCCAUCUAAAGCUAAAUACUGGUGAGAGACCGAUAGCGAACAAGUACUGUGAAGGAAAGGUGAAAAGAACUUUGAAAAGAGAGUGAAAUAGUAUGUGAAAUUGUUGAUAGGGAAGGAAAUGAGUGGAGAGUGGCCGAGGUUUCAGCCGCCCCUCGUGGGCGGUGUACUGCCGACGCCGAGUCAUCGAUAGCGAGACGAGGGUUACAAAUGGGAGCGCCUUCGGGCGUUCUCCCCUAACCCUCCACACUGCCACCGACGACAUAAUCCACCCAUUUCUGU